UGACAGCACAGUGUGACCAAAGG
rnacentral:piRNA from 1 species